rnacentral:rRNA from 1 species
UACAGAGGGGGCAAGCGUUAUUCGGAAUUAUUGGGCGUAAAGGGCGCGUAGGCGGCUUGGCAAGUGGAUGGUGAAAUCCCUCGGCUCAACCGGGGAACUGCGUCUGAUACUGGAUGGCUUGAAUUCGGGAGAGGGAUGCGGAAUUCCAGGUGUAGCGGUGAAAUGCGUAGAUAUCUGGAGGAACACCGGUGGCGAAGGCGGCAUCCUGGACCGAGAUUGACGCUGAUGCGCGAAAGCCAGGGGAGCAAACGGG